AGAGUUUGAUCCUGGCUCAGAACGAACGCUGGCGGCAGGCUUAACACAUGCAAGUCGAACGCCCCGCAAGGGGAGUGGCAGACGGGUGAGUAACGCGUGGGAACAUACCCUUUCCUGCGGAAUAGCUCCGGGAAACUGGAAUUAAUACCGCAUACGCCCUACGGGGGAAAGAUUUAUCGGGGAAGGAUUGGCCCGCGUUGGAUUAGCUAGUUGGUGGGGUAAAGGCCUACCAAGGCGACGAUCCAUAGCUGGUCUGAGAGGAUGAUCAGCCACAUUGGGACUGAGACACGGCCCAAACUCCUACGGGAGGCAGCAGUGGGGAAUAUUGGACAAUGGGCGCAAGCCUGAUCCAGCCAUGCCGCGUGAGUGAUGAAGGCCUUAGGGUUGUAAAGCUCUUUCACCGGAGAAGAUAAUGACGGUAUCCGGAGAAGAAGCCCCGGCUAACUUCGUGCCAGCAGCCGCGGUAAUACGAAGGGGGCUAGCGUUGUUCGGAAUUACUGGGCGUAAAGCGCACGUAGGCGGAUAUUUAAGUCAGGGGUGAAAUCCCAGAGCUCAACUCUGGAACUGCCUUUGAUACUGGGUAUCUUGAGUAUGGAAGAGGUAAGUGGAAUUCCGAGUGUAGAGGUGAAAUUCGUAGAUAUUCGGAGGAACACCAGUGGCGAAAGGCGGCUUACUGGUCCAUUACUGACGCUGAGGUGCG
rnacentral:rRNA from 1 species